rnacentral:misc_RNA from 1 species
UGACUCUACUUUUGCAUUCACUUCCUUCUCCCUUCUUACAACAAGAGACCUGUCGGCCUGCAAAGAAUCUGUCAAUGAUUUGUAUCGCUCUGCCUCAGCAUGCCAAUGUUGGAGCUGNNNAAAUUGUACAGACGAGAUGAAUGUAUAUACUUGUCAUCCUUCAAUUCAUCCUGAAGUUUUUCCGAUUCUUUUGUUAAGAUGUGAUUUUCAUCUUGGGCUUCUUUAAACUCAGAAAGACGGUCAGCUACUAGUAUCUUUGCUUCCUCAAUAGAAUCCUUCAACUCUCUCAAACCUUUAGACUUCUCUGCAGGCUUUUCAGGUGUCAAGCUUCCAUUUACUGCACUUGAUGCUGGAGUAUGCACCCUAGCUGCUGCAUCCUUUUGCAUUUUCAGAUUGACCAACUUUCUUCUGCUUUCUUCAAGUUCAGCCAUG